GCCUUGUUUCUCUCCUGGGUUGUUUUGGGGGCUUGUCCCUCCCCCUUCCCUUCCACGGGCUGGGGAUUGCAUCUCCAUGCCUUGGAGAUUCUUAGCCCCCCACCCCGGUCCUCCUCCAUGCCAGUCUCUGCAUUCUCACUGGCUGAGUAAUGCUUAGAUUCCUGGUGCCAGGGAGCCUGUCAAUGGGUCAGAGGGAGGAGGUAGCCGGCCACACCAGGAGCCCAUCCUAUCUGGAAUUGCCUGCCUCAGCUGUCUGGUCGCAGAUCUCCUUGUUAGUCUGGGGUCCCAGGUCUGGCAGGAAAAUGCUCAUAACUAUGUGUGGUUGGGGGGCGGGGGUGGAAGGUGCUCGAAGUGCCUUUGAUGGGCUGUAAAUCUCUGCCUGCUGAUGUCCUAGCCAGGGGGAGGAUCCCCCGGCCCCACGCCUCUCAAGCUUGUACCCUGAAGCAUGAGGGUCGAGAGCCCCUGGAACAUUGCAGUGCAGCGGCUGCUGUGAUUCAUGCCAUAGAGGGUCCUUGGCCAUCCACCUGCAGAGGGCAGACCCCGGGCUGGAGGCCGGCAUUAGGUGGCUCCGGGCCACAGUGCAGUCCGUUACGGUCGCCCGCAAGGUGCUAAUGCACCUAGAACCCCGUCAUUCGUUUCGCUGUAGCAGUGCCCAGCAUGUGCCUUAGAGUGCCAUGCUGGGAACCCAGCCUCUUGCUGAUCCCUGCGAAACCACUGCUGUCCCCUCACUGUACCUACAGUCAGCUGCAAACAGGCCUUGCGGUGUCCUAAAGCUGGGGAGGGCAGGGACUCCAGAGCAUCUAUAUCUUGCCUGCUGCCAGUGGCCAGUGCCAGAGCAUCAGAGCAUGGACAGAACAGGGCAAUCAUCGAGUGAUCUACCCCGUCAUCCAGUCCCCAGUUCUGGCAGUUGGGAACCCCAAGGCAGGGGGCUGCGUCCCUGACCAGCAUGGCUAAUAGCCAUUGGUGGACCUGUCCUUCAGCGUGAGGGAGGCUGCACCUCUCUAGGUCACCAGGGACAGAACUCUGAGCUCAUUGAAUGCCCCACUGUCAUGUUACGCGGUGGGGUGACUAGCCCGGGGCCUUCUCUGGCCCCUUAGUCUGUCCCUCUGGCCCCUGCACAGUGAUGGUGGUAGGAGCAAUGGGGCUCCCACUUACUCAAUAUCCCUGGUCUCAUCUCCCUGCUCCCCAGAGCUCUGUUCCUCAUCCUCCUCUGGAUCCUUGUGACUUGUUCAGAGUCCUGUGACCAGCAGGACUCACUGUAGGGAAACACCAGCCCUUUAUGUAACUGCAUUAGAAUAGAUCUGGGGCAGCUGCCCUUGUCAUCUGACUCCUGCUGCACGUUGAACUAGGCUCUGCUUGGAAGGUGCAGCUAGUGUGGGGCCCACAAUGGGUUGUGAGAGCGGGUUAUAUCGCUCUCUAAAUGGGCAUAGCCUGAUGCUUGUCUAGGCUGCUUCUCUGUGCCAUGCUGCCUGGGAGAGGAGGGAACCUCCUCACUCUGGCUCUAGGCUGUAGUGCCCAAGGUCCUUGCCAGGUGUUCAGCCCCCCUCUGAAAGGGUGGGGCAGGCAGGGGUACCAUGGUGCUGGCACUGGGCCUGAGCUGUCUUAGCUGUCUGCACUGCAUCUUGUUGCUGAUGCGAGUGCAUGGGAGGUGCCAAUGUGCAUGGUGGUCCCCGGCAUGCUCCUGGAGCCUGGGGAAGGGGAGGGAAGUUUGGGGAAGCUGUGCAGCCUGCUUCGCUGGUGGGACAGGCGGAAGGGCCCCCCCGCUGACCUGCUCCGUGCUGUGAUGGCGUGGGCCUGGCUGGCUCUUAGCAGUGGGCUGUUAGAGCCUGGCACAGGUUCAAGCCCAGGCUGCCAUGGAGUGUUUCUGGCUGCCCAGUCUGAGAAGGGGACAUCUAGGAGGAAGUGGGGGAAGGAAUCGAGGUCUCCAGACACCCGCUCAGCAAUGGGAUUUGUCAAGUACUGAAGCGGCAGUGAGCACCUUGGAACAUGUCCCACGAGAAGAGCUUCCUGGUGUCGGGCGAUGGCUUCCCCACUCCAAGCCCUGCCUUCCCUGGGCAGCAGCCUCCUGCCCCGCCAGCCUACGCACAGCCCCCCUUCCCGACAGCACCCUAUCCACAGCCCCAGUUCCAGCCAGGACCCUACAACCAGCCGGGCUUUCCGCAGGGCCCGUACCCUCAAGGGCCUGGGCCGUACCCACCAGCCCUGUAUCCUCAGGGGCCAUAUCCACCAGCAGGCGCGUAUCCUCAGGGGCCGUGUCCACCAGGGCCGUAUGUGCAGCCGCCGUACGCCCAGCCACAGCCCAUAGUCUCAGAGGACCAAGGCUCUCCGCUGCACAGUAACUACCAUGAGGAGGGGCCGCCCUCGUACUAUGACAACCAGGACUUCCCCAUCACCCACUGGGAUGACAAGAGCAUCCGCCAGGCCUUCAUCCGCAAGGUGUUCCUGGUGCUGACCCUCCAGCUGAGCGUGACCUUCGCCUUCGUGGCCAUCUUCACCUUUGUGAAGGGUGUGAAGGGCUUUGUGAGGCGCAAUGUCUGGACGUACUAUGUCUCCUACGCCGUCUUCUUCAUCUCGCUGAUCGUGCUGAGCUGCUGUGGGGAGUUCCGCCGCAAGUACCCCUGGAACCUGGUCGCCCUGUCCAUCCUGACCAUCAGCCUCUCCUACAUGGUGGGGAUGAUCGCCAGCUUCUACGAAACGGACGCCGUCAUCAUGGCUGUGGGCAUCACAGCCGCUGUCUGCUUCACCGUUGUCCUCUUCUCCCUGCAGACCAAGUACGACUUCACCUCGUGCCGGGGCGUGCUGAUCGUCUGCCUGGUGGUGCUGAUCAUCUUCUCCAUCCUGUGUAUCUUCAUCCGGAACCGCAUCAUGGACAUUGUCUAUGCCUCGCUGGGAGCCCUGCUCUUCACCUGUUGUGGCAAGCUGCAGGUGACCAUGCAGAGCUCAUCAGCAGAGGUGACCAUGAUGAAGUCCCAGAAUCGCAAAAGAGCGCCAGCAUGGACCGAACAGGAGGUGCGGGAUCUGAUCGCUGUAUGGGGAGAGGAAUCCGUGCUACCAGAACUCCGUUCCAGCUUUUGAAAUGCCAAAACAUUUGUAAAAAUCUCCCAGGGCAUGAAGGACAGAGGCCAUAACAGGGACCCGAAGCAGUGCCGCUUGAAACUUAAGGAGCUGAGGCAAGCCUACCAGAAAACCAGAGAGGCAAACGGCCGCUCCAGGUCAGAGCCCCAAAUAUGCCAUUUCUAUGAUGAGCUGCAUGCCAUUUUAGGGGGUUCAGCCACCACUACCCCAACGCUGUGCUUUGACUCCAUCAAUGGUGUGGGAGGCAACACGGAAGCAGGUUUUGGGGACGAGGAAGAUGAGGAGGAGGUUGAAGAUAGCUCACAGCAAGCAAGCAGAGAAACCAGUUUUCCCAACAGCCAGGAACUGUUUCUCACCCUGGACCUGGAGCCAGUCCCCCCCGAACCCACCCAAGGCUGCCUCCAGACACACCAGGCGGAGAAGGGACCUCUGCUGCAUGUGUUUCAAGGAUCACAGGAUCUUCUCCUUCCCAGAGGCUAGCAAAGAUUAGAAGGUGAAAAAAACGCACUUGUGAUGAAAUGUUCUCUGAGCUCAUGCUGUCCUCCCACACUGACAGAGCACAGACGAAUGCAUGGAGGCAGACAAUGUCAGAGUGCAGGAAAGCACAAAAUGACCGGGAGGAGAGGUGACGGGCUGAAGAGAGUAAGUGGUGGGCUGAAGAGAGGGCUGAAGCUGAAAGGUGGCGGCAGCAUGAUGAGAGGAGGCAGGAUUCAAUGCUGAGGCUGCUGGAGGAUCAAACCAAUAUGCUCCAGUGUAUGGUUGUGCUGCAGGAAAGGCAGCAGGAGCACAGACCGCUGCUACAGCCCCUGUGUAACCAACUGCCCUCCUCCCCAAGUUCCAUAGCCUCCUCACCCAGACGCCCAAGAACGUGGUGGGGGGGCCUCCGGCCAACCAGCCACUCCACCCCAGAGGAUUGCCCAAGCAACAGAAGGCUGGCAUUCAAUAAGUUUUUAAAUUUUUUUAAGUUUUUAAGUUUUAAAGUGCAGUGUGGCCUUGUCCUUCCCUCCUCCCCCACCCCUCCCGGGCUACCUUGGCAGUUAUCCCCCUAUUUGUGUGAUGAAUUAAUAAAGAAUGCAUGAAUAUGAA